CCUCACCAAUUCUAGAUGGAAAAGCACUUCUGUAUUCUUUCAUAUCAACUCCUGAAGUAAGAAUAGGAGUUGCCUUUGGAAGCAAUGGAAGCCAAUCACUUCCUGCCACUGAAUGGCCUGGUAUUUCUUCUUGGCUGGUGUGUUUCCACUAAGUUUAAUAUUAUUCUUGUAGAAAAGUAACAAUAUACUACUGUAAUGAUACUGGUGUGUUUCCACUAAGUACAAAUUAUACUACUGCAAUGAUAAACCUUCUUGCAAUCUUUUUGUGUUACAAAUUGAUGGCUGGUAUGUGUACUGUUCCUCUUCUAAUCUACUAGUAUACGUUUUUGUAUGCCAUACCUCUUAGAGUAAUUGUGAAAAUACAAAUAGUAUAUUAUAAUAUAAUCAAGUAUCUUUGUAGAGACAAUUAAAACACUGAAAGAAUAAGGAAAUGAAAAAGGCAAUGUAGGCAAAGAAAAAUUGUAAGAAAUGGAAUGGCCCUAAAGAAAAUUGGAAUUAAAAAUAGUAGAGAAGAAAACUGAAUUAUAAAGUUUGGAAUUGGAAUGGUGAUGGACUUUUUGGCAAAUGAUAGUAAUUGAAAGUAGCAUACACCGGCAGACAGGAAAAACAUAUAAUAUACAAAGUUUUGAACAAGUCAAAGUGAAGUAUGGCUCAUCCUAUCACCAAAUUCAAAUCAGUUCUCAUGCAAGUUUUGGGGAAUUGAAGAAAAUGUUAACAGAACCUACAGGAUUGCACGUUCAGGAUCGGAAAUUGAUUUACAAGAAAAAAGAGAGGGAUUCAAAGUCAUAUCUUGAUGUUGAGAGGGUCAAAGAUGGAUCAAAAUUGGUGCUGCUUGUGGACAUUGAGAGUAGAAAAAGAAGGUUACUUGAGAUGUUAAAAAUUGCUAAGAAGGAGAAGACAUUAAAAUCCUUGACAGAAAUAAAGGUGGAGGUUGAUAAACUUGCCAAGAAGGUAAUAGCACCUAGUUUCACACUAUUAAUUUCCACAACGUGAACUAGUGUACCUAUUUUUGCAGAGAAGAGAGCAGAUUAGGAGAGUUCAGAAACACAUUGAGACUCUAGAUAUGUUGAGGAUGGCAAGGGAAUGACAAUAGUAGGUGGUUGCAGAUACAGGCGGGCCAUUCCUGUUGGUCUUCGAGGGCUCUUAGACAUUGAUGCCGAUUAUGGUAUCAGGAAAGCUUUCCUA